rnacentral:rRNA from 1 species
AUUGAACGCUGGCGGCAGGCCUAACACAUGCAAGUCGAGCGGAUGAAGGGAGCUUGCUCCUGGAUUCAGCGGCGGACGGGUGAGUAAUGCCUAGGAAUCUGCCUGGCAGUGGGGGAUAACGUCCGGAAACGGGCGCUAAUACCGCAUACGUCCUGAGGGAGAAAGUGGGGGAUCUUCGGACCUCACGCUAUCAGAUGAGCCUAGGUCGGAUUAGCUAGUUGGUGGGGUAAAGGCCUACCAAGGCGACGAUCCGUAACUGGUCUGAGAGGAUGAUCAGUCACACUGGAACUGAGACACGGUCCAGACUCCUACGGGAGGCAGCAGUGGGGAAUAUUGGACAAUGGGCGAAAGCCUGAUCCAGCCAUGCCGCGUGUGUGAAGAAGGUCUUCGGAUUGUAAAGCACUUUAAGUUGGGAAGAAGAGCAGUAAGUUAAUACCUUGCUGUUUUGACGUUACCAACAGAAUAAGCACCGGCUAACUUCGUG